AUGGAGCGAUGUCCUGACUGCCCAUGCAGUGCACCACUGAUAUGGUUGACUUUGAAGGAGGUCAAGAAUGGCAACUAUGGGCGCGAGUUCGUGAAAUGCGAGAGCAAGCCAGAGGGGCAGACCGAGAAGAAAUGCACACAUUUUGAAUGGCUGGAUGACUACGUUAAGCGGAUUCAAUUCACUAGGGCCCCAACCCGGAGCUCAAUCUGCCGUCAGCAACUACGAAUUUGGUCUCUGAAAGUGCUGCUCUAA
rnacentral:rRNA from 1 species